UAAGGGCGCACGGUGGAUGCCUUGGCACUAGAAGCCGAUGAAGGACGUUACUAACGACGAUAUGCUUUGGGGAGCUGUAAGUAAGCUUUGAUCCAGAGAUUUCCGAAUGGGGAAACCCAGCAUGAGUUAUGUCAUGUUAUCGAUAUGUGAAUACAUAGCAUAUCAGAAGGCACACCCGGAGAACUGAAACAUCUUAGUACCCGGAGGAAGAGAAAGAAAAUUCGAUUCCCUUAGUAGCGGCGAGCGAAACGGGAAGAGCCCAAACCAACAAGCUUGCUUGUUGGGGUUGUAGGACACUCUAUACGGAGUUACAAAGGACGACAUUAGACGAAUCAUCUGGAAAGAUGAAUCAAAGAAGGUAAUAAUCCUGUAGUCGAAAAUGUUGUCUCUCUUGAGUGGAUCCUGAGUACGACGGAGCACGUGAAAUUCCGUCGGAAUCUGGGAGGACCAUCUCCUAAGGCUAAAUACUCUCUAGUGACCGAUAGUGAACCAGUACCGUGAGGGAAAGGUGAAAAGCACCCCGGAAGGGGAGUGAAAUAGAACCUGAAACCGUGUGCUUACAAGUAGUCAGAGCCCGUUAAUGGGUGAUGGCGUGCCUUUUGUAGAAUGAACCGGCGAGUUACGAUUUGAUGCAAGGUUAAGCAGUAAAUGUGGAGCCGUAGCGAAAGCGAGUCUGAAUAGGGCGUUUAGUAUUUGGUCGUAGACCCGAAACCAGGUGAUCUACCCUUGGUCAGGUUGAAGUUCAGGUAACACUGAAUGGAGGACCGAACCGACUUACGUUGAAAAGUGAGCGGAUGAACUGAGGGUAGCGGAGAAAUUCCAAUCGAACCUGGAGAUAGCUGGUUCUCUCCGAAAUAGCUUUAGGGCUAGCCUCAAGUGAUGAUUAUUGGAGGUAGAGCACUGUUUGGACGAGGGGCCCCUCUCGGGUUACCGAAUUCAGACAAACUCCGAAUGCCAAUUAAUUUAACUUGGGAGUCAGAACAUGGGUGAUAAGGUCCGUGUUCGAAAGGGAAACAGCCCAGACCACCAGCUAAGGUCCCAAAAUAUAUGUUAAGUGGAAAAGGAUGUGGCGUUGCCCAGACAACUAGGAUGUUGGCUUAGAAGCAGCCAUCAUUUAAAGAGUGCGUAAUAGCUCACUAGUCGAGUGACACUGCGCCGAAAAUGUACCGGGGCUAAACAUAUUACCGAAGCUGUGGAUUGUCCUUUGGACAAUGGUAGGAGAGCGUUCUAAGGGCGUUGAAGCAUGAUCGUAAGGACAUGUGGAGCGCUUAGAAGUGAGAAUGCCGGUGUGAGUAGCGAAAGACGGGUGAGAAUCCCGUCCACCGAUUGACUAAGGUUUCCAGAGGAAGGCUCGUCCGCUCUGGGUUAGUCGGGUCCUAAGCUGAGGCCGACAGGCGUAGGCGAUGGAUAACAGGUUGAUAUUCCUGUACCACCUAUAAUCGUUUUAAUCGAUGGGGGGACGCAGUAGGAUAGGCGAAGCGUGCGAUUGGAUUGCACGUCUAAGCAGUAAGGCUGAGUAUUAGGCAAAUCCGGUACUCGUUAAGGCUGAGCUGUGAUGGGGAGAAGACAUUGUGUCUUCGAGUCGUUGAUUUCACACUGCCGAGAAAAGCCUCUAGAUAGAAAAUAGGUGCCCGUACCGCAAACCGACACAGGUAGUCAAGAUGAGAAUUCUAAGGUGAGCGAGCGAACUCUCGUUAAGGAACUCGGCAAAAUGACCCCGUAACUUCGGGAGAAGGGGUGCUCUUUAGGGUUAACGCCCAGAAGAGCCGCAGUGAAUAGGCCCAAGCGACUGUUUAUCAAAAACACAGGUCUCUGCUAAACCGUAAGGUGAUGUAUAGGGGCUGACGCCUGCCCGGUGCUGGAAGGUUAAGAGGAGUGGUUAGCUUCUGCGAAGCUACGAAUCGAAGCCCCAGUAAACGGCGGCCGUAACUAUAACGGUCCUAAGGUAGCGAAAUUCCUUGUCGGGUAAGUUCCGACCCGCACGAAAGGCGUAACGAUUUGGGCACUGUCUCAACGAGAGACUCGGUGAAAUCAUAGUACCUGUGAAGAUGCAGGUUACCCGCGACAGGACGGAAAGACCCCGUGGAGCUUUACUGUAGCCUGAUAUUGAAAUUCGGCACAGCUUGUACAGGAUAGGUAGGAGCCUUUGAAACGUGAGCGCUAGCUUACGUGGAGGCGCUGGUGGGAUACUACCCUAGCUGUGUUGGCUUUCUAACCCGCACCACUUAUCGUGGUGGGAGACAGUGUCAGGCGGGCAGUUUGACUGGGGCGGUCGCCUCCUAAAAGGUAACGGAGGCGCUCAAAGGUUCCCUCAGAAUGGUUGGAAAUCAUUCAUAGAGUGUAAAGGCAUAAGGGAGCUUGACUGCGAGACCUACAAGUCGAGCAGGGUCGAAAGACGGACUUAGUGAUCCGGUGGUUCCGCAUGGAAGGGCCAUCGCUCAACGGAUAAAAGCUACCCCGGGGAUAACAGGCUUAUCUCCCCCAAGAGUUCACAUCGACGGGGAGGUUUGGCACCUCGAUGUCGGCUCAUCGCAUCCUGGGGCUGUAGUCGGUCCCAAGGGUUGGGCUGUUCGCCCAUUAAAGCGGUACGCGAGCUGGGUUCAGAACGUCGUGAGACAGUUCGGUCCCUAUCCGUCGUGGGCGUAGGAAAUUUGAGAGGAGCUGUCCUUAGUACGAGAGGACCGGGAUGGACAUACCUCUGGUGUACCAGUUGUCGUGCCAACGGCAUAGCUGGGUAGCUAUGUGUGGACGGGAUAAGUGCUGAAAGCAUCUAAGCAUGAAGCCCCCCUCAAGAUGAGAUUUCCCAACUUCGGUUAUAAGAUCCCUCAAAGAUGAUGAGGUUAAUAGGUUCGAGGUGGAAGCAUGGUGACAUGUGGAGCUGACGAAUACUAAUCGAUCGAAGAC
rnacentral:rRNA from 1 species